CUCUUGCGCUGCUGCCAUGACCAUGAGAAGAACUUGCAUUUGAUGCUUGCUGACCCCAGGAGCGUAACUCCCAUGGAGGGCAUACCUGACCUGCCACUUGGAGCCAUGCCCAGCCAGGUUUAGACAAGAGGAGCCAAACUCCAGAUGAACCAGAUGCCUGAAAAGACUCUUUGUUUUUGCCAUUCUGUGCACGAGCUAAGCAGAAUACAGUAAAGAGAAAUGGGGCAGGCCCAGGAAUCCAGGAGAUGGGAGAGAAUUUGCAUUCCGACUGUGGAACUCAUCAAAAGGCUAUUCUUCCUGCCUCCACUGGAAGGUACAAUUCAGGUUGGGGGCUAUUGAAAACAAGACUCUACCUCUUUCUUCAAAUUCUAGCUGGCGGGGGUGGGGCCUCUGAAGGUGACUUUGUGCCCCCAGAUGUCCCCCGUGGACUUGACAGUUGAAAGCUGUUGAUGCUCCUUCCAAAUCUGAGGCUGCUGGUGUUUUCAAAAAGGAAGAAAUGCCCUAAGAUGGUUCACCCAAAAUAAGCUGGCUACAGCGGAUGGUGACUUUUGGCAAAAUCACGCAUUUAACAUACCCAACACACACACACACACGGAGAAUUGUGUGUGUAGCUCCAGUUGAGGAAAAUGUCCAAAGUUUGGAUUUGAGGAACAGGAUGGAAAUAAGGCGCCACCAGAGGCCACCCGUGCCCUCCAACCCGACCCCAACCCCCAUCCGGAUGGUUUGGUCCAAGAUACUUCACAGAGAGAACGACCCCGCCAACCACACACACACCCUCCCCACCUCCGUGAAAGACCUCUCAUCCAUCAUUUGCCCACCUCCCCAAGAAGCAUUAUGCAUCGUUUAAUUCCAACUCUUUUUCGUGUUUCCUUUUAAAAACCAUAGACUUCCAAGAGAGACUUCCCCCGAAAGCAAAGCAUUCUCCAUGGGUUUGGAAUAAACCUGCAAAAUCCUCUCAACUCCCCUUUACCACACACACACACUGAAACCCAGCUCCAGCGCUGUGUCUGCAUCAUCCCACUUCUGCCUCUUCCACACAGACUUAUUUCAUAAAAACGUCAGCUAUUAAGUUAACAUUAUUUAAGGGGCUGUGGGUGUUUAGUUCCUGAAUGCAACCUAAGCUGGAUGGGGAGAGGAGAGAGGCCUGACGUGAAGGCCUGGCUGUAUAAAACAUGAUCCACAGAGAAGCUACAUAAAUAACCCGACCGUGGGCUCCCAGCGCCUCUCUAUUUAUCACUGAAGUAACGAUAAGGAUCUGCUUUAGAGUGAACCCUGCUGAGGGUCCAGCCCCGGCACAAGCUGUAAUAUGAUCUGCAGGGGAGGGCUGAUAACCCGACACAAUGUGAAGAAACCCGGGCAGAGGAAUAAGACAAACUGUUCGUCCAUUAAACGGCGCUGUCAGGAAGGGGGCCGCGAAGCCAAACAGAGCUCCAUCCAAUUCUUGCGUGGAGACACAAAGCCAGGAACACCUGAACCGAGCUGGGGAAAUAACCUCCCUCAGAAACAAGCGGAGGUGGGGUCAGGGGAAGGGGGAAGCCGUCUCCCGGAGGGAGGUCACUGUGCUGGUUGAUCUCAGGCACAGCCUGCACCCCCCCUGGGGUGGGGUCUCUCCAUCAGUGAAAUGGGAUCCAUCCGCUUGGUGGCCCCUCCCUCCCUGGGUGGUUGGGGUGAUCCCAUGGUCGAGGGACAUCCAGAGGGUCCUGAGGAAGAAGGAGAUGACUCCACGAAGGCCAGAAAUGCAGAGGCCACGCUGGUUAUAGAAGUGCUGGAACCACCCAAGGAAGAUGAAGGGCUCGUUCAGCUCCAGGAGCUGUAGUGAUGCAGCGCCUUCAACGUGGCGGCACAGAAGCCCAGGCCGCUGCCACCAAGUCUGAAUCUUUCUUUCAAAAGAAGCUCCAGAUACGAUCUUUCCUGGGAAAUUUCAAGGAUUCAGUGUUUGCUGUUACUGAGAAUUUUUUUUUUUUUUUCCCUGUAUUCUGUGUGCUUUUCGUUUAAAAAUUCCUUGUAUUGAGUUGAAAAACUGUGGAUUAGAUGUGGCCGAUCAUUUGUGCCCUCUGGACUAAAGCAAAGCAAAGUGGGAUCUUUCUGGAUCACCACCAUGGCUCCUGCACUUCAGGUUAGACAGCACGCGGGGACAGGAAGGCACAGAAACAGCAGGGCCCCUUCUCACAUCCGCGGGUCGACCUCACAUUUGUGCCGGCUCCUUUGACUUUAGGGUGUCCUUUUUCUGGAUCUACACCGCAUCUCGUGGAGUGUGACACAGAAUCUUCAGACAACAAAGAUUCUCUCCCACUGAGAGCGUUGCGUCUGAACUGUCCCCUGAGCUUUUCAUUCCUAGAGAACCUUGGCCCUGCCCCUGGCCAGCAUUUUUCCUUGGAAAUAUUGAUGCAUUUUGCACAAACAUUGAUGGCAUUUUGCACAUGCACUGCAAGUCUGUAGCUCACCACCACCACCCCCCGCUGACCACAAACCCGAGAACAACUGAAAAAAUACCCCUUCACUUUAAAAACAAGACACCAAAAAAACCCUUCUGCUAGUUCACCUUUGGGAAAAUCAGAGAGUCCCCUUCUUGUUCUUGAAGAUCAAUUUGUUCCCACAGAUGGUCAACGAGACGAGCCCAGGUCUCUGAAAUAGGCUUCUCAAUGCAACCCAGAGAGUCUUUGGCCUGUGAGGUAUGAGCUUCUUAGAACAAUGAAGGCCAAGCCAGAAGAUGGGAACAGAGGGUUUUCUGGAGGGUCAUCUGUGGCUUUGGUUCCACCUCCAGGCUCUGAGUCACCAGUGUUCCUUCUUGAAUAGGCAGGAUCCUGGCGCUCAUCCUAGAGGGUCUGACCGUAUGGCCCAGGGACAGUUAUUUUUAUACACAGCUUCACUGGUAAAUCUAGACCAUUUUGAGAGCCACCGCUAUAAUCAAAGCAUCAGUGAUUCCUCUUCAUUCUCAAGACUUGCUUGUUUUACAGAAUCACAUGGAAAGCUUUGCAAAAUAUGGCUUCGUAGGAUCCAGUCUAGGAGACUGAUUUGAUUUGGAUAUUGGAUCAAAUUUUUCCAUAACUAUUGUAGGCAUGGAGCUCUUGUAUCUUUGCUAUAUUUUUGGAGAAGUCGGUCUACUUAUCCCCACAAUUACAGGUGGCAAAGCUGACACCCAGAAAUGGAAGAUGACCACUGUGGUGCUGCACCCAAGGCUAGAAUAAGAUUCAAAUGUCUUGCCUUUUUCUUAAGGAUAUCACCUUUUUCUGCCAAGUGUUAUGACCAACUUGCUGCAUUCAAGCUGUUCUUUGUUGGGCUAAAAUUAAUUUCCUGAGGCAGUGGCAAAGGGUUAUUCCUUUCUAAAAAUUUAAUUGUAGUUGAUGUACUCCGUUCUAUCAAUUUCUGCUGUACCGCAAAGUGACCCAGUUAUACAUAUAGAUAUACAUAUAUACAUACAUAAAUAUACAUUCUUUUUCUCGUAUUGUCUUCCAUCAUGUUCUGUCACAAAUGAUGGGCUAUAUUUCCCUGAGCUAUACAGCAGGACCUCAUUGCUUAUCCAUUCUAAAUGUAAUAGNACAAAUGUAAUAGUUCAUAUCUACUUUGUAUUGAAUUAUAUUUUUCUUGAACUUUGUAGUUGAAUAAUUCUCUUUCCCCAUCAGGCAGGCAGCAGUUUCUGUGCCUCGUUGGCAUUGAGAUGACUUAUGGCAGAGAUUCACAGCUUUUAUUUCCAGAGUCUCUUUCUCACUGAGGAGCCCAUGGUACGAGGAUCAAGGAAUUACUCAAGUCAAAGUAGCAGUUUUUAGAGACUACGGGAGGAGGAGGUGGAGGCUCGAUGUCAAAGUUAGAGUGACUGAAAAUAUAGAUAUGCGAAAUAUUUCGCUUACUUCAAUUUUUCAACCAAAAGUCAGAGGGGCAGUCUUUAGUUGUGAUAUAAAAGGGCAAAUGGCAUUUUCAAUUUGAACCAUUUCAGAGGAAAUUAAUCUUAUAGGAUGGAGAAAAAAAGUAUAUACUGGAGAAAAAAAAAUUUUUAUUUUAAGUGAUUUCUUAAAUGAAAAAAAAAAUCUUUUAUAGUUGUUCAAGCGAAUAGAAACACAACCUAAAGAAGGUUAAGAAAAAAGAAAAUAAAAAA
rnacentral:lncRNA from 1 species